rnacentral:lncRNA from 10 species
GGAUGGGGCCCACAGUCCCCCUGCAGCGCCUGGUGCCCACAGCCCCCAACACCUAUUGCUUGGGCUGAGACCCUCUGAUGUCUAGAAUUUAAUUAACAACAAAUUCUCAUGAUGAAACUCUUGCAUAAUGGAAACACAAACAACUGAUUGGAACCAGGAACAGGUGUAUGAGUCACCUGCUUAGGAGUAUUAACAGGAAGCCCAAAAAAACCCCCAAGAAACCUGAUCAGCAUGCUGAGGAAGAAGGCACAUGGAAGAAAAAUCAAGCAAUCAAACACACUAGGGUUCUACUGACCCUGGGGAAAUCCAAUAUUUCAAAAGUGAGAUUCUGAAAUAGUUUAGAUUUCAAACUUUGAUUCUUCUGAAUACAGAUUUCAAAUGUAAGUGAUGUUCAAAGUCUCUGAGGUGCCCCCAGGUCUUGUCAGUCCUUCCUUCCUUUCUUCCUUGUUGAAGGAAGAAGCUGAGGCAGAAUUGAUGUAGAGACUGUGCGUGGGCUAAAGUUGAGGACAGCAAGACACACUUCCACAUUGCCUUGCUGUUAUCCUCCUAUUUGUAAAACGGAGGCACCUGGGACCAGCUCCAGCAAGGAGAGUGAGGAUCCGACUCCAGGAAGCACCUCAGGAACAAAGGCCUCAAGGCCAACACCUUCCACGGCACAAGCCCAACAGAGCUGCAGGAACCGUACAAGCAGCGGGAACAUCCCUUUCUCUUCUUGACUAUGUUUUCCCCUGAUGCUUUGCUUUCCACAUAGAAGAGUUUUCCAUUUUCGUGGGGUCAACUCUGCCUUCACUCAUUCAACAAUGAUGGGGGGCUCUGCCCCGCUCCCCCCAGGCUUCAACCACACCUGACUGCCCACCCCUUUGGGCCCUUCCCUGAAGUGACAGACCAGGCUGUGCCCUGGCAGGUAAGAGAAAGGACCCCACAACCCAUUCAUGGGCCGCUCCAGCUGGGGCCUUGCAUGCAGGAGCGGACCAGUCCCCCUGAGGGACAGCCCUUGGGUGGGGGCUCUGGGUCAUUUUGAGGAGUCAAUCACACCAACAGGUGCCUAGCACAGGCCCCACCCCCACCCCAAAUAAGGCAAGCGACCCUUCCCUUCCGCAGGUGGUCCAGUCUAACAGAAACCCUAAACCAAAGGGACUGUGUGGUGGCUCAAGCCUGUCAUCCCAGCACUUUGGGGGAUGGAUCGAUUUUAGCCUAGGAGUUCAAGACCAGCCUGGGCAAUAUAGUGAGACUCCAUCUCUACAAAAACACUUUUUAAAAAAAUUAGGGGUGCAGUGGUUUAUGCCAAUAAUCCCAGCACUUUGGGAGGCCGAGGUGGACAGAUCGCUCAGAAGUUCCAGACCAGCCUGGGUAACAUGGUGAAACUCUCUGUCUCUAUAUAUGUGUGUGGUAGGGUGGGCCUGUGGUCCCAGCUACUAUAGCAGCUGAGGUGGGAAGAUCGCUUGAGCCCAGGAGGUCCAGGCUGCAAUGAGUUGUGAUCAGGCCACUGCACCCCAGCCUGGCCAACAGAGCAAGACUCUGUCAAAAAAAAAAAAAAGAAAGAAAGAAAAGAGGUCAGGUACGGUGGCUCACGCCUGUAAUUCCAGCACUUUGGGAGCCCGAGGCAGGUGGAUCACGAGGUCAGGAGUUCGAGACCAGCCUGGCCAAUAUGGUGAAACCCCGUCUCUACUAAAAACACAAAAAUUAGCUGCGCAUGAAGGCGCGCGCCUGUAGUCCCAGCUACUCGGGAGGCCGAGGCAGGAGAAUGGUGUGAACCCCGGAGGCGGAGCUUGCAGUGAGCCGAGAUUGCGCCACUGCACUCCAGCCUAGGCGACAGAUCCAGACUCCGUCUCAAAA